rnacentral:rRNA from 1 species
UAAAGCCGAAGAUCCCCCAAGCCGUCACACGCACCCCGGAGACACGAAGCCCUAAUACGAAGGUAGCUUUAUUAACACCCCCGACGCCACGAAAGCUAAGAAACAAACUGGGAUUAGAUACCCCACUAUGCUUAGCCUUAAACUCAGAUGCUAAUAUUACAAAUGCAUCCGCCAGGGUACUACAAGCGCUAGCUUAAAACCCAAAGGACUUGACGGUGUCUCAGACCCACCUAGAGGAGCCUGUUCUAGAACCGAUAAUCCCCGUUAAACCUCACCACCCCUUGCUUAUUCCCGCCUAUAUACCGCCGUCGUAAGCUUACCCUGUGAAGGACUUAUAGUAAGCAAAAUGGGCAAACCCCAAAACGUCAGGUCGAGGUGUAGCUUACGAGGUGGAAAGAAAUGGGCUACAUUUUCUGCAACAGAAUAUCACGAACGACACCAUGAAACUAGUGUCUGAAGGUGGAUUUAGUAGUAAAAAACAAACAGAGCGUGUUUUUGAACCAGGCUCUGAGACGCGCACACACCGCCCGUCACUC